AAGCAAUGGAUGCUGCCUGUAAAAACUGAAUCAUGCAUGGACCUGUGACUUGCCAAUGUGACUCUAAAAUUCCAUCUUGGAGCUGGACUUUGCAUAGGAGAGAGGAGGGGGUCUCCACCCACAAGGAAAAGUCUAUUUAAACCCCUGGGAGAUCCCUCCAUUUUGUCUU